CGUAAUACACCCGCAACAACUAGUCCACGUUCCCUCAUCACCCACGUCGCACGCUACCAUUCCCGCUUUCCACCGCCUCCCCACUCUCACGGAAACCGCCGUUCCUCUCUCCCCGUUCUCAAUAUCUGGCGACGAAUCCAGCGAUUCCGCACUAUUCGUUCUGCGUUUUCUCUCUUCCACCCGUCGAUUCCACUUGUUGGGGAGCAUUUCCGCGCGAGGGGCGGAGCAGUUGUUGCGGCGGCGACGUCCAAGGUUGCGGCGGCGUCAGCGGUCGGGAUCUCCAGGCGAGCGGUUGUGAAGCAGGAGGGCGUAGGCAGGAGAGGGGAUGCUGUGAUUUGUGGAGGAAGAGCAAAUCGACUGCAAAACGCCGCGAAAAAUGGCUGGGAGCAGUAAGGGCAUCCAGCAAGACCCCCCUACAACCAAUCUUGAUGAUGAUUUUUUUAACUUGCCUAACCAUUGCCUUCUAGUUGCCUCAAAAUGAUGCAAACUUGCUGACUCUUUUCAUUAUAUACUUAGAUGAAUGACUGUUUCUAUAUCAGAUACGCGUUACAGACGCUUUUCAUCAUAUACUCUGAUGAUAGACUUGCCUAAGAUCUGAUGAUAGACUUGCCCAAGAUAUGGGAAGCACUCCCUCCGUCCGCGAAUAAGUGUGCAGCACAACAACCAUACUAGUUGCUCAUGGAUCUGGGAAAAACGAGGGAGAACACUGGGAGGUAGAAGGUGCAAUUAGAUUUGGACAAACAAGCCAUUGCAGGGUCCUUUCGAUUUUGGAGGAGGAGGAGGAGGAGAAGAAGAAGAAGAAGAAGAAGAAGGGCAUGGAGGUGGGGUAGGUGAGGAGAGGGAAAGGUUGGGCCUAGGGGUACGUCAGGGGAGCCACACCUCCCAUUUGAGGACGGGCGUUGAUCAAGUGUGUGAUGGGGGAGCUGAAGGAAAGCGUGGGCGCGGGAGGAAAGCGUGGGCCUUCCUACUUUCCAAAUCUGGAUCAGGGGGACAAAAGCCUACCUAAAUAAGGGAGGCUGCCAGGGGGCGCCCGGCGCAGAUUCUCUAACUUGCUUAUAGCAAGUCAGAGGCAGCCUUGAGGCAGCUGGAUGCCGUUUCUUUUCCAUCGUGUGUCCCCUGCUCUGUUUCAUGUUUCCUUCCCUCACACAACACAGUUCAGCCAGGCCAGCCCACAUAAGCGACAAGGGAGGCCCAUUCGGGAGCAAACAGCCUAGCUGCAGCGACAAGUGCAUCUAUGGACACUUAAUUGAAUGUAAACAGCAGAAUAGAACAGAACAUAUUCAGACUGGAUAGAAACCUGUAAAAAUACUCCGUUUUCAA